AAUUCACAAAAAUCCACGUUCUUGCUCUAAUUGCAUCACAUUCAUGCUUACAGGGAGCCAAGAUGUGCCUUUCUGGCCCUCGGUGUGCGGGCUGCUGUGUGCUGAGCUCCGUGAAUGAAGGCUUCAGCAGGGCCCACAGGCAGCUGGACCACACGGCAGCUGCAGUUCCCCUGUGCACAGGGCUUGCUCUUAUAAUUAAUGGAAAAGAUUGCGCCCUUAUUUACUUGGCUCAGAAGGGAAGUUUGAGGAAGAGCAGUGAAAUAACUGUAUACCAAGGUAAGCUGGGGUGAAGAUUGCAGGAAAAUAGCCAAUUACUUGCUAUCCUGUCGAUACAAGGGAUGAUUAUACACUACAUCUAGUUCACUAGCUGUGCUGAGGCAUUUAAGGUAAUUAGCUUCUUACUACAAAGUAGGAUUUGGAUACUGUAGAUAAAAUCCUCCUCGCCAGGUCUGCAGCAAGGGAAUGAAUCCCUAUACCUGUUAGCAUGCCUCAUCCCUGGCCUCAGUCCUUGGGUUCAUCAUGGCUUCUCCUUCAUGAAGGAGAACUGCAUCCACCAGCAGUGCUCCUCACAUUUGAGCAGCCAUGCACGAGCAGACAUCUUCCAGGAGAACAACCCUACAUCCAGCCUGCAGCCGGCACGGAGGGAAAGGAGCAUGGAUGAGAGGAGCAGGUGUGGGCUGUUCCUUCCAUCGUUCACAGAUGUUCUUACACCGCCUGGCUAGAUGGGAGCUCACAUGGCUGCACCAUGGGAAUACAGGGACGUUCUGGCUUUGGUUUCAAACACAUGCAGGUCUGCUCCUCCAAGAGAUGCGCAGGCAAAUCCUUUGACUUUUGUAUGGGUGAAGAUAGACAACAGGGUUUCCUCCUAUCUUACAGCACACAUAGUGCUACAGUUUUCAUUACCGCUGCUCACUGAUGCAUUGGGAGAGCUAGGAAUCUCCUGCUCUAGCAGAUAAAUUAGCCUCGUUUCCUAAGAUUUAUAUAUAAUCUUAGGAAGUUUGCUGGCAUGAAUGUGUUUGUCCUAUCUGUAUGAUGUGUGAAUCCAGAGGCUUAAUUCUUCAAUUUUGACAUGUAUAAGAUUAUUGAAGUAUCCUGGAGUCAGACCCUCCUCACACACCAGCUCAGGUACUGGCUGAUAAGUUUAUCAUUGUCCCAGACAUCAGAGAAUUCACACAGGAAAGCAGCGCUCAAGAAAAGGUUUCACACACCUUUGCUUUAUGGGGUCAGAACUCAGUGUACCCACAUUUGUGAAAAGCUUCAGCAUUUUUCAGAGUGGCAGUUCACAAAAAUCCAUGCUUCUGCUCUGGUUCUAUCCAGCUCAGGAAGCUCCGCUGAUGAUCCUGAUAGUGCCUCAGAUGCAUGAGAUGGUUCAGGCUGCUUCCUCCCUCUCUCUUUUAUAGAUGAGAAUAUAAUUUAGGAGUGAUCAUAAGCUCUAGUUGGCCUGUUGUUUCUGUUCUGUUUUGUUUAUUUUGCAUAUGUGUGCCUGUUUAUCCACGUAAGAGGUUUCUUUGUAACCUUGUAUUACUGAUGGAAAUGGAUUCCUGAAGAAUUUGAAGUGUAAGCGUCCCGUUGGGUGAUAGCUGUGUGUGUAUGCAGAUGGGAUCAGAUCUCAGGCAGCUUAGUUUUCCCCCUUCAGUUGUGAAACUGGAGCCUUGGUCUCUCCUAGAGGUUGGCAAACAGCCUCUGUUCAAAGAGCACAGCAUCACACAGUUACCCACGUCAUAUCUACCUACAUGCAGGGGACAGCACGUGGGGCCCAGCAGUCAGCAUCCCGUGGGACUCACAGAGAAGCCAGGCUGGGAUGUUUGCUUGACUGCAUUAUAAAAGGGAAAGCUCUCAUUGAGCCAUGGCUUUGGAGGUUCCCACUUUGUGGCAAGUCAGUCUGGCAUCUUCUGAGCCUCUUUCAUUGGCUUUGUGGCUGGGAACUGAUGAAACGGGCCUCCUCCAGAAACUCUGUAGGAUGAGUCACGUGCUUUAUGCUCUGGUACUGGCUUGGAAAUAAAAUGCAAGGUAGAGCUUUGUACCAGGCUCACCAGUUGUGUGAGAGCUACUUCAACCUCCUGCAUAACUACCGCUGCUUUGCUGAAAAGUGCAUCUUUCGAAGAAGAACUCCAAAAGACAGAGGAGGACAUCCUGGGGUCUGUCGGCUGGUUAGGACCUGUCAGCUGGUUAGGAUCCAGUGGCUGCAGAGAAUUGUCUGCUUACAUCAGCUGAGAUGGGACAGGCCAUGAAAGAAACCCAGGCAAUGAAAACUCUAUCCAUCUGUCUUCUGCAGUAAGCAGGCCAUGAAGGAGUGUGGUUGUUUGCUUUCUUUGCUCUCUGAAUCAUUGCAUUUGUUCUGUUUUACUUUUCUGGUCCCUUAAAUGACCAGAAUAGGCAUUCUUCGUGCCAUAAAAAGCAAGUACCCAUUUUGCUGUGCUGUUCUCGUCUCUAGCAUUUGUUGCUAUCUAUUUAUUAAGGUACAUUCUCUUAAUGAAAACAUCCAAGAAAUCAGCCUUUGUUUGCUGAUUAUACAGUCAGGUAUUCCAGAUUUACAGCGUUCAUUUAGCAUAAUUGGAGCUUACAAUGAGUACAGAUUUUCUGUUAAAGGAAAAGAGAAAAUAGCAAAAUGGUACAGGGCAACAGUCAUAUAGAGCUAAAGCAAUGAUUGUGUCAUUUGUUUUGGAGGGUAGAUUUGCUAUUAAGCUGAAAUCUAAAGUAAGGUACACUGAUUAACAGGAAAUUGCUCACUUACACAUAUGUUAGACUUUUACAAACCUUACUUCAGAAGCCCCUGAAUACUGAUAAGCCUUUGUGAUUUUAGCCAAGUAUGUCAUCAGUAACAUCAGUGCCUGUAUAUAAACAUUAUUUUUUCCUGAUUCAGGUAGUCAAAGUUCAGGAAAAUAUUUGUCUUAGGUCUCUGCAAAUGAAUGACUUGGAAUUCAGUGACAUUGUCCUCUUCAAAGGGAACUGAAGGAACCCCACUCUAUUUCCUAGAAAAACCUCUGAGAAUCGAGCAAGCUAAUGUGGCUUUCCUGAGAAGGGGCACCCUUCUUUAUGUUUUCACAGUAUUUCAUUAUUUUUAAUG
ensembl:lncRNA